ensembl:snoRNA C32F10.9 ncRNA
ACACGUGUUCCAGCGUUUAGCAAAAUAGGCGUUAUUAAGAAUUGUUAAACAACGAAAAAUCCGAAAAUUGGUAAUAAUUUUCGGUAGAGCAAAUUUAAAACAGAAGUUUGAAAGAAUCAAAAUUCGAGAUAAUCACAAAUAUAACAAUUUAACGAAAUUAAGUUUUCUA